GGCAAGGAACAAAAGCUGUAUGUUUACAACGCUCACUUUGACGAUUUGUUGUGUUUUGUUUGCGUUACGUAGGCGAACUUCUUGUUUGACUUCAAGUGUUUUUUAAAGAGUUUGUGUUAAACGGUGUUUUUGUUUGAGAUUUGUAUCGCUCCAUAAUGAUUCUGAGGAUCUCAUCAUCAGCUACGCAAUAAUUAAAACAAAUAAUAGAAUUGAUACAAAUAUAUUUUUAUUGUUUUAGGUGCAACGGGACACAUCAUACCUCAUAAAAAAUCGGAAUAUUCGUUAAUAACGAAGAGGUUGCCACGAUAUAUAUGUACCUUUCAAUGCCCUGUGCUUUUCUUACUAUAUAUUUAGCUACCCCCCAUUGUAAACAUUGUAAACAAAUGUAUAAAUUUGUUUAAAUGUCAGUGAAUCGUAUGCGAUUAAAACUAAAAAGAUUAAUUUCAUGAAUGGACACUUCAUUUUUCACAACAGCACCAGUACUAGGGCUAGUUUGAUUUGGUAAACAAUGAGGGUAGCCGAGCUCCGAUCGAUGGGAAAAGGAAAUAGAAAUGAUUUGUUAUAGAAAAUAUUAACAAAACGUAUUAGAGUUUACAGCCGGUCUCGUAGUACAGUCGUCAACUCGUACGACUUAACAACAUGCCCGUCAUGGGUUCAAUCCCCAAAUAGACCGCGCCGCCAUACGUAGGACUGACUAUCCUGCUAUGGGGGGAAAUCAAUUAGUCACUGAAAGCCAAGCCCAAAAGUGGGUACAGGCAGGCCUCGACCGACAUCGGUUGUUGAGCCAAAGAAGAAGAAGAAGAAUAGAGUUUACAUCAACAGUACAAUAAUAUUUAUUUAAUGUUCUGGUUAAGUACUGUUACCUUGUUAUCACUAGAACACACACAAGAAGAACCCAAGACUCAGGUCACUGUAGGCAUUAAAAAAACAGAAAAAGAAAAUGUAUCAAUAUUCAGACAUCCCUUCAAGAAGAAUCUACAGAAACACUGAAACAUUACAGAUACAGAGAUUUUACGACCCUCGUGACUACGACGGAUGGUCAUCAACUUUAAGGAAGCGUUCACGUUACAUAAAAGCGAUUUUAAUAUUAAGUAAAUAAGCAAGAGUGAAAACCUUUCGGAUUAUUCGUUCGAGAUAUUUAUAAAUAAUAACAAAGGUUUAUUUUUCCAUUUCUUAUAAGAAUCUAGUUUUAAAAUUCCACUAAAGAAAAUGAACAAAUCUAAAUAAGCUGUGUACAACUUUAUAACUGAAAAUGCUUAUCAGCUUAUAUAUUUAACUAAUAUAAACUAUCAGAAAUCCUU